rnacentral:rRNA from 1 species
AUUGAACGCUGGCGGCAGGCUUAACACAUGCAAGUCGAGCGAGCGGCGGACGGGUGAGUAAUGUCUGGGAAACUGCCUGAUGGAGGGGGAUCACUACCGGAAACGGUAGCUAAUAACGCAUACCAUCAGAUGUGCCCAGGUGGGAUGAGAGAGUAGGUGGGGUAAUGGCUCACCUAGGCGACGAUCCGUAGCUGGUCUGAGAGGAGGACCAGGCACACUGGAACUGAGACACGGUCCAGACUCCUACGGGAGGCAGCAGUGGGGAAUAUUGCACAAUGGGCGCAAGCCUGAUGCAGCCAUGCCGCGUGUGUGAAGAAGGCCUUCGGGUUGUAAAGCACUUUCAGCGAGGAGGCGUUACUCGCAGAAGAAGCACCGGCUAACUCCGUGCCAGCAGCCGCGGUAAUAC